UUAAUGGGAUUAGAUACCCACUAUGCUUGCCCCAAACAUUGAUAGUUUACCACACCCACUAUCCGCCAGGGAACUACAAGUACCACUUGAAACCCAAAGGACUUGGCGGUGCUUCAAACCCAUCUAGAGGAGCCUGUCCUGCAACCGAUAGUCCCCGUUUAACCUUACCUUUUCUUGUUCAUCCCGCCUAUAUACCGCCGUCGCAAGCUUACCCUUUGAGGGCCCCGUAGUAAGCAAAGUUAGUAUUACCCCCAUACGUCAGGUCGAGGUGUAGCGUAUGUAAAGGAAAGAGAUGGGCUACAUUUACUAGCCUAGUAAAUUACGAAUUUGCCUUGAAACAGGCAUCUGAAGGAGGAUUUAGUAGUAAGUAGAAAUCAGAGUGUUCUACUGAAAUUUGGCACUGAAGCGCGUACACACCGCCCGUCACCCU
rnacentral:rRNA from 1 species